AUCCUUUUGUAGUUCAUAAGCAUGAUGACUGGGUUUUCACAUGCAUGUGUGAGAAGUGCCUCCCUCAGUCCUUGUUAUGAUGUUGGUACGUUACCUGUCUGACA